AGAUGCACCGUGACUCAGAUCACAAAUUGUCCAAGCGGCCAUUCAGUGUUGGCAAGUCCAGGCAUGUCCCUUUCCUCUCUGCAACCAAGCUGUCAGAUCUGAGUCUUCAGUCACAAGAGCACAACUGUGGUCUUGCACUUGUGUAUUUUUCGUGUGUGUAUUUGUGUUCCCUGCCUGCAGAGCGGAAGCUUCACUGCCCACUGAAAUGUCUGCUGUGCCCAGCUGGUGCAGGUGAAUUUCAGGACAACUCUGUUCAAAAAAAUACUCUACCCUGAGGAGACACUUGCUGCUAAUUCAGGAGAACCUGCAGAUAAUAAGACCACUUCUCUCUGACCUACCUUGUUGUGCACGUGUGUUUUUUUCUUUCUAUCAGGUGCAUAAAGUGAGUUAAUAUUUGAAGCAUGCAAGUGAUGAAAUGUCUGAUGCAUCAAAUUUUAAG